AUUGAACGCUGGCGGCAUGCUUUACACAUGCAAAUCGAACGGUAACAGGCCGCAAGGUGCUGACGAGUGGCGAACGGGUGAGUAAUGCAUCGGAACGUGCCCAGUCGUGGGGGAUAACUACUCGAAAGAGUAGCUAAUACCGCAUACGAUCUAUGGAUGAAAGCGGGGGACCGUAAGGCCUCGCGCGAUUGGAGCGGCCGAUGUCAGAUUAGGUAGUUGGUGGGGUAAAGGCUCACCAAGCCAACGAUCUGUAGCUGGUCUGAGAGGACGACCAGCCACACUGGGACUGAGACACGGCCCAGACUCCUACGGGAGGCAGCAGUGGGGAAUUUUGGACAAUGGGCGCAAGCCUGAUCCAGCAAUGCCGCGUGCAGGAAGAAGGCCUUCGGGUUGUAAACUGCUUUUGUACGGAACGAAACGGCUCUGGUUAAUACCCGGGGCUAAUGACGGUACCGUAAGAAUAAGCACCGGCUAACUACGUG
rnacentral:rRNA from 1 species